ensembl:lncRNA
CCUAGCUCCUAGCUCCGCUAAGCUAGGUGAUAGGAUAAUAACAGUAGGAGAAAGUUGCUCUGGACUGCCUUCUCAGAGCGGGAACACUCUUUAUUAAGAGCCCGAACCCUCUGGUCAUAUCAUAUCGUAUUGUAUCUGGUCAUACCUUACAGUAUCUACUAGGUCCGAGCCACUACUCGGACCUAGGAUAACAACAGAGGAUAGCCGCCUGGGUCUGCUCCCCCAGAGCGGGAACACUCCUCUUAAGAGCCCGAACUCUCUUCUCUCAUUAUGGAUCUACUCGCUCUGCUUCUAACGUGGUUGGUGCUCCAGCUGACGUGGAGCACGGGACACACACUGCUGUCUCCUACGGCCUGCGCGGAUCCAAUACACUGCAGAGCAGCUACUUCGCUGGAGCAACAUACAGGAGCCACCCGCGGACCUGAUUCGACCAAAUCCUGCGGAUCUACUGGGACCCAUCGUGCCUUCCAGAGCCUGCUGGACGAGGAGAAGGAUCAGAAGGCGAGGACGGAGAGGAGGCACUCGCCUGCGGAAGCUACAACCCCUUUCCCGCAUCCCGCUGCCUUCCAUCAUCCUUUCCAACGCGCAGUCCCUUAGGAAUAAAUCCGAGGAACUCCAGGAGUUGGUCGGCUGCAGUCACCAUUUCAGGAACGCAUGCCUUCUAGCCUUCUCGGAAUCCUGGCUAUCUGAACGUGACUUGGCCACUGAUCUGGAGAUUGAGGGCUUUGGGACACCCUUUCGUCUGGAUCGUGAUGCCUCAGUCACGGGCAAGUCAUCUGGCGGAGGGGUAUGUUUGUAUGUUAAUGAGCGUUGGUGUAAUGCUAAAUCUGUCAUUGUCAGGGAAAGUGUAUGUACUCCCGAUGUUGAACUGCUCUCUGUCUCCCGGCGGCCAGCAUAUCUACCAAGGGAGUUCCCACAGAUAUUUAUUACAGUUGUUUACAUUCAUCCAAAAGCUAAUGAAGCUAGGGCCUGUGAGCAAAUUUUAAAGGUUGUACAGAAACUUCAGCUAAUCUCCCCUGACGCACCUAACCUCAUCCUCGGUGACAUGAACCAUGUCUCCCUGAAAAAGACUCUCAGAGACUUCCAUCAAUAUGUCACUUGUCCGACCAGGUCUAAUAAAACCUUAGACAUGUGCUAUGGUAAUGUUAAAGAUGCAUACAAAUCUGUACCCCUCCCGCCUCUAGGAUCCUCCGACCAUAACUGUAUUCAUCUUUUUCCUGUGUAUCGCACUGCACUUAAAAGGGGCAAAGUGCAGAGCAUCCGCAUUAAGAACUGGAAUGACAAAAAUGCAUGUGAGACUCUUCGUGGCCUUUUUGAAGCCACAGAUUGGGACAUGUUCUCCGAGUCCUCUGCCGAUAUCAAUGAACUGACUGAUGUUGUUACUAGCUGGUCUGUGUACUGUGAGAAUAUCAUUAUCCCAGUGAAAACAAUCAAAGUUUAUCCUAAUUCCAAACCAUGGAUAACAAAGUCCCUUAGACCUCUUCUUCACAUGAAGAACAAAGCCUUUAAAGAGGGUAAUUCAGUAGAACUGAGACGUCUGCAAAAAGAAAUUAAAAGAGAGGUCUGGGCUGGCAAAAAGACCUAUAAAGAUAAAAUUGAAAGCCAACUUAAAGCUAAUAAUCUGGGCUCUGCCUGGGACGGCAUGAAAACCAUCACUGGGCUGAAAGAGAAAAGAAAAAAGGUUUCUUUAGCCAAUUACACCAGUGACUUGCACCUUGCACAGAGCCUCAACAAUUUUUAUGUCAG